GGGGAAGAAGAUGACAACCUUCUCGCGGUCUUCCCUGUUACGUGUGUAGACACAACGAAUGUCAUC
rnacentral:ribozyme from 1 species